ACGAUGAUUUCAAAAAAGAAUCUUACCCAAUGAACGGAAUAAUAUGAAUAAUCACGUUCCCAAUGUUUUGGUUUUCAAUCGUUAUUUUAUUUUUUGUUUUUUUACUUGUCCACCUGUGCACACUUUUUCUGCUUCACUGCAGACAUUUUGCCAAACCGCAACAUGGCGGCCUCGGGGACGUUUCUCCUGUCAUUUCAGUUGUUUUGUUUCCUCUGUACAGCAGGAGGUACAGUACUUGUGCAGUGGUUUUUUGUUUAUAAUAUAUAGUGCUAAGCUCGAAUCACAUCGAAGCAUAACAGAAUGCAGCAGUGUGUGUUUUCACGUCGUCAAUCAAUUGAGCUCAUAUGUCAGUUGCACAAUUUUGAAUUGCAGUCAAGUCAUAAAGUGUGAGAAAUUUUCUGAUUUUUUACCCUUCAAUAACAAAGGAGCUACUACACCCAGCUCGUAUUCACAAUCAUUAGAUGACCGAAAGUUCCAAACACACACCGACAAUGGACGUUGGUUUGACAUCUUUACUUCUUCGAAAGAAAAAUGACCACACACAAAAGAAAAACAAAACACACACGUCAUUUGCAUUUUUUUCUUCAGGGGUUGAUCUUUUUUUUUGGUUUUAAGUCUGGUCCGUUUUCCAUCUGCUGCUGUCUUCAGGGGAAGGGAUAGGUACAAAAAGGUGAGAGAGGGACAACUCUCUAUAUUUCUCCAGUUGUUUCGACAUGGAAAACUUUGGAAACAAUCUCAACAAGAAAAUGAGAAGAUAUUCUGUUAACACAAACGCUGUUGGCUGUCCACGAAAACGCGUUGAAGAGGAAAAGAAGAUUUUUAGGAUUUCCCAGGACAACCUGCUGUGAACCCAUCAGCGCCAAAAUCUUUUGUUUCUUUUCUACAACAGCUUUUGUAUGAAUUGCUGGACACUGUGUGGACUGCACAUUGGCCUCAACAGGAACGAAUCAGAGCUGCCGUAGAAAGCCAACAUUGUCAUGGGAAGGACGCCCUUUUCUCUCCAGUUCUACAGUUGGGCUCUCUUCAUUACUAAAGCGGCUUAAUGAGAAGAUUCUACGACUCUUUGGUGGUUAAGGAAAAAAAAAAAAUAAAAGAAUUCUCGUGUCCGUCUAUGAUGAAGCCGUGAAGAUGAGCAACUGGCAGAGAAAGAACAAUGUGGCGCAUUAGCUCUAAUUGGACUGGACAUGGCAGCUUGUCUGUCGACUUACAAGAAUCGGGUCAAUGCUUUCACACCAGAUAUUCGUGUACACGAGAAAGAGUAGAAAACGCGAUAAAAAGUGUGAAAAUCUCUAGGUUUGUAUCGAAAUUAUAAUUGACCCUGCUCGAGGCGCUCUUUGUUCUGUUCUUUUUUUUUUUUUUUCACAAUCAUCUUUUCGUUGUUUCGUAGCGUCUCUACACGGAUUCCCUGUUUGAUGGAUGCCGUGCGAGAUAUGAUGAAGCGAUCAAAUCCUUUGUUGGUCAUCCGUGUUUGCGGCUUUGUAUUCUAUAUCGAAAUAGAGUUAUGGAGGCGCGGUUUGGGUAUGAAGAGAUUCGUGCGUCUACAUGCGAGCAGCUUCGUCACACAGUCACGUACUAUCAAAGCCCGGAACAAGGAGAUGAAAAGAUAAGAGAAACGAGUCAUCCAGGAAUCUGUUCACGCUCCCAGCAGGGAAGCAAGACAUGAUGUAUACAGCAGAUAAAGAUAAGAAAAAAAAAAAAAAAUAAAUAGGAAAAAGGGGGUCAAAAACGUUUGAAUAUUUGCUGUUUUGAAUAGUUCAUUACACAUAACGCGACAGCCAAUUUACACACAGGUGGAACACGUUCAAAAGAAACGCACACACGAAUAUGAUACACAGAACAAAUCACGACGGAUGAAAAGAAACUUGCGUAUGCACGCAAUGACUAAACGCCGAUACACUUACAUAUAUAUCAAAUAUCGUGCGACAUGUACGUCCUCCCCUUUCACGAAAAGGAAAAGAAAAAAAUAAACGCACAAUUUACACACUUGGCAUAAAUUUCGAAGAAGAUGCCGUACAGAGAGAAAUCCUAUCUGACAGAGGGAAAGUGGGGAGAUAUACAUAUGUAUACUAUGCAGAAAUCGAUAAGAUGUACUUUGUAGAUUAAAGUUGUUUUUUUUUGUUGUUGUUGUUGUUGUGUCGGGUAGAUAUUAAAUAGAAUAUCCCCCGCGUCGUCAAAUGACAGUGAGAGCAUACGAAGGAGAUGAUGGACGUUGCCUGUAACAUAUCGGCUUGUAAAAUACGAGAAGAGAGUGGGG